AUUGAACGCUGGCGGCAGGCUUAACACAUGCAAGUCGAGCGGAGAGAGGUAGCUUGCUACUGAUCUUAGCGGCGGACGGGUGAGUAAUGCUUAGGAAUCUGCCUAUUAGUGGGGGACAACAUUUCGAAAGGAAUGCUAAUACCGCAUACGUCCUACGGGAGAAAGCAGGGGAUCUUCGGACCUUGCGCUAAUAGAUGAGCCUAAGUCGGAUUAGCUAGUUGGUGGGGUAAAGGCCUACCAAGGCGACGAUCUGUAGCGGGUCUGAGAGGAUGAUCCGCCACACUGGGACUGAGACACGGCCCAGACUCCUACGGGAGGCAGCAGUGGGGAAUAUUGGACAAUGGGCGGAAGCCUGAUCCAGCCAUGCCGCGUGUGUGAAGAAGGCCUUAUGGUUGUAAAGCACUUUAAGCGAGGAGGAGGCUACUUUAGUUAAUACCUAGAGAUAGUGGACGUUACUCGCAGAAUAAGCACCGGCUAACUCUGUGCCAGCCGCCGCAGUAA
rnacentral:rRNA from 1 species